rnacentral:lncRNA from 1 species
GAUUUUACGCAUUCAACAGGGCAAAAAAUUAAGUGUCCUGGUCAACCACCUCCAAGAUUGAAUCAUCAACUGUUUAAAUUAUUAUUAGGUUUUUCAAAUAGCUAACUGGUUGGUUCGCUUGGGCCAUAUUCUAGCAAAUUCUUUUGAUGAUUUAUUUCAAUUUAAUUACUGGACUGCCAGAACCAAAUGAAAGUUUUGAUCUUGACCAGUACUAAAG